GGCUCGGUAGCUUAGUUGGAAAAGCACUUGUCUAGCGUAUGAGGAUCGUGAGUUCAAAUCUCACCUGAGCUG
rnacentral:tRNA from 1 species